GGCUGGCAAAAGCGAUGGGGAAGGUGCACUUCGAGCAUUCAUUAAGGGCCAAAAGUUAAGGCGGCUAUCAAACCUUUUCGGUUGUCGUGACCCCGAGUAUGUAUCACCAGAACGGUCUAGGUCGGCGACACCAUCAGAUCCCGCUUCGGGGCAGGGCCAUGGUGAACCUUUGGAGGAUGAGGAUGUGGGUGUGGUCACCCAAGAGGUUGCUGAUGAUAUGACCGUGGGGACGUACCAGGCUCGGUCUGCAUACGAGUUGAAGCCUAGGAAGGGAAUCAACAAGUACACACCUGAAGACUUCACCCAAAGAGGCCAAAGAGGCAAAAGGACGGUCGGCACCUCGCGGAUGGCGGCUUUGGAUGACUAUUUGGAUGACGAUGUAGAUG